rnacentral:rRNA from 1 species
GAUGAACGCUGGCGGCGUGCCUAAUACAUGCAAGUCGAGCGAACAGAUGAGGAGCUUGCUCCUCUGACGUUAGCGGCGGACGGGUGAGUAACACGUGGAUAACCUACCUAUAAGACUGGGAUAACUUCGGGAAACCGGAGCUAAUACCGGAUAAUAUAUUGAACCGCAUGGUUCAAUAGUGAAAGACGGUUUUGCUGUCACUUAUAGAUGGAUCCGCGCCGCAUUAGCUAGUUGGUAAGGUAACGGCUUACCAAGGCAACGAUGCGUAGCCGACCUGAGAGGGUGAUCGGCCACACUGGAACUGAGACACGUUCCAGACUCCUACGGGAGGCAGCAGUAGGGAAUCUUCCGCAAUGGGCGAAAGCCUGACGGAGCAACGCCGCGUGAGUGAUGAAGGUCUUCGGAUCGUAAAACUCUGUUAUUAGGGAAGAACAAAUGUGUAAGUAAAUAUGCACGUCUUGACGGUACCUAAUCAGAAAGCCACGGCUAACUACGUG